GACGAACGCUGGCGGCGUGCUUAACACAUGCAAGUCGAACGGAAAGGCCCUUCGGGUUACGCGUGUUCCGAUCGGGUGAGUAACGCGAGCGUGACCUUCACCUCACCUUGGGUUUACAGUUGCUUCAGGCUGCUAAUACCAGUUCUUCAUCUCCGCUCCCAUGGCGGGGGUUGGAUAGGAUUGGUGGUGGGGGAUGGGCUCGCGUCCUAUCAGCUUGUUGGUGGGGUGGUGGCCUACCAAGGCGUCGACGGGUAGCCGGCCUGAGAGGGGGACCGGCCACAUUGGGACUGAGAUACGGCCCAAACUCCUACGGGAGGCAGCAGUGGGGAAUAUUGCACAAUGGGCGGAAGCCUGAUGCAGCAACGCCGCGUGCGGGAUGACGGCCUUCGGGUUGUAAACCGCUUUCGGCAGGGACGAAGCGCGAGUGACGGUACCUGCAGAAGAAGCACCGGCUAACUACGUG
rnacentral:rRNA from 1 species